UACGGGGGGGGCAAGCGUUGUUCGGAAUUACUGGGCGUAAAGGGCUCGUAGGCGGCCAACUAAGUCAGACGUGAAAUCCCUCGGCUUAACCGGGGAACUGCGUCUGAUACUGGAUGGCUCGAGAUUGGGAGAGGGAUGCGGAAUUCCAGGUGUAGCGGUGAAAUGCGUAGAUAUCUGGAGGAACACCGGUGGCGAAGGCGGCAUCCUGGACCAACACUGACGCUGAGGAGCGAAAGCCAGGGGAGCGAACGGG
rnacentral:rRNA from 1 species